rnacentral:misc_RNA from 1 species
CUCUUGUGCUUAUCUGAGGCGACGCACUUUCACCGCACAAAAGAUGGAAAAGGAUCUCAACGCGGAGCGGACAGAUAUCGAGAUUGCGGCUGAGGAGGUUACGGAGGCCAAACAGUACCUCGUCGAUCUCGACCGCCGAAAGAACCAGUAUCGCGAGGCUCAACGAAAAAUAUUAACAACACGGCCCGAGGAGGACUUAUGGAUACUGAGCGGCGGCUCUACGUUUGUGUCUUGCGAGCUGAGCCACUCUGAUACGCUAAAGUACUUUGAAUGGCGCUUGCAGCAGUGCGACAACGAGAUCGAGAGGGCGCGAGAAGACUUAAAACUGAAAGUAGCAGCGCUGGCGGAGCUGGAGGGAGCUGACAGUGCCUUGGCGCGCCUUUAUGAAGGGUUCGAGCUGAAGGGGAUGUCUUGAAGCCAGUCGUAGGGGCUGAGUCGUGGAGGUUUCGAAAAAUAGCCUCACAGCUGCUGCUUUACAAGCUUACUAUGUUUCGAUCGAAAUUUUUUUCAUCUCGACCGAGGAACGCUCGAAAGAAGAGUAACGCGACACUUUACCGUCGCUGGUGAAGCUUGCCGCAAAAGAUAGUGUCGCUGUACACCAAGCACUUCCGAAGGCUUUCAAUGAGGUUAACAGCUUUUCUAUUGCCCACCGCUACUUCUCCUCUCCCUCUUCUUCUGCUACUGGCCUUUUUUUUCUCGCCUUUGCUGUGCUUACAUACAUCUGCAAAAG